rnacentral:rRNA from 1 species
UUAAACUAAGAAUAUAAGGGUGGAGCUUUUUAUUCAAUAAUUAAUAAAAGAUGAAUAAAUAAAUAUUUUUUUAUAAAUUAGGCUUUUUAGUGGCCAUAUUUUUAAAGUAUUUUAACUAAUAAAAUAUAUUUUUUUUUAUUUUUAUUCUCUUUAACGUUUAUUAGAAUAAAUUUUUUAUUAAAAUUAAAUUAGUAAUAAUGAGAAUAUUAGUAGAGAAAUAGAUUGUUGAAGUUAAAAAUAAUAGAUUUAUAAAUAUUUUAUAGUAAAUAUAAGGAAAAAUUAAAGGAAUUCGGCAAAUUUUUUCUUGCCUGUUUAACAAAAACAU